CAGUUGUUUACGGUGAGUUUUAUCCGGGUUUUUGCUUCGAAGGCUCUAUAGAAAUCUGGCUCCCUAUUGAACGAAAUUCAACUGAG